GGUUAAGCGACUAAGCGUACACGGUGGAUGCCCUGGCAGUCAGAGGCGAUGAAGGACGUGCUAAUCUGCGAUAAGCGUCGGUAAGGUGAUAUGAACCGUUAUAACCGGCGAUUUCCGAAUGGGGAAACCCAGUGUGUUUCGACACACUAUCAUUAACUGAAUCCAUAGGUUAAUGAGGCGAACCGGGGGAACUGAAACAUCUAAGUACCCCGAGGAAAAGAAAUCAACCGAGAUUCCCCCAGUAGCGGCGAGCGAACGGGGAGCAGCCCAGAGCCUGAAUCAGUGUGUGUGUUAGUGGAAGCGUCUGGAAAGGCGCGCGAUACAGGGUGACAGCCCCGUACACAAAAAUGCACAUGCUGUGAGCUCGAUGAGUAGGGCGGGACACGUGGUAUCCUGUCUGAAUAUGGGGGGACCAUCCUCCAAGGCUAAAUACUCCUGACUGACCGAUAGUGAACCAGUACCGUGAGGGAAAGGCGAAAAGAACCCCGGCGAGGGGAGUGAAAAAGAACCUGAAACCGUGUACGUACAAGCAGUGGGAGCCUCUUUUAUGGGGUGACUGCGUACCUUUUGUAUAAUGGGUCAGCGACUUAUAUUCUGUAGCAAGGUUAACCGAAUAGGGGAGCCGAAGGGAAACCGAGUCUUAACUGGGCGUUAAGUUGCAGGGUAUAGACCCGAAACCCGGUGAUCUAGCCAUGGGCAGGUUGAAGGUUGGGUAACACUAACUGGAGGACCGAACCGACUAAUGUUGAAAAAUUAGCGGAUGACUUGUGGCUGGGGGUGAAAGGCCAAUCAAACCGGGAGAUAGCUGGUUCUCCCCGAAAGCUAUUUAGGUAGCGCCUCGUGAAUUCAUCUCCGGGGGUAGAGCACUGUUUCGGCAAGGGGGUCAUCCCGACUUACCAACCCGAUGCAAACUGCGAAUACCGGAGAAUGUUAUCACGGGAGACACACGGCGGGUGCUAACGUCCGUCGUGAAGAGGGAAACAACCCAGACCGCCAGCUAAGGUCCCAAAGUCAUGGUUAAGUGGGAAACGAUGUGGGAAGGCCCAGACAGCCAGGAUGUUGGCUUAGAAGCAGCCAUCAUUUAAAGAAAGCGUAAUAGCUCACUGGUCGAGUCGGCCUGCGCGGAAGAUGUAACGGGGCUAAACCAUGCACCGAAGCUGCGGCAGCGACGCUGAUGCGUUGUUGGGUAGGGGAGCGUUCUGUAAGCCUGCGAAGGUGUGCUGUGAGGCAUGCUGGAGGUAUCAGAAGUGCGAAUGCUGACAUAAGUAACGAUAAAGCGGGUGAAAAGCCCGCUCGCCGGAAGACCAAGGGUUCCUGUCCAACGUUAAUCGGGGCAGGGUGAGUCGACCCCUAAGGCGAGGCCGAAAGGCGUAGUCGAUGGGAAACAGGUUAAUAUUCCUGUACUUGGUGUUACUGCGAAGGGGGGACGGAGAAGGCUAUGUUGGCCGGGCGACGGUUGUCCCGGUUUAAGCGUGUAGGCUGGUUUUCCAGGCAAAUCCGGAAAAUCAAGGCUGAGGCGUGAUGACGAGGCACUACGGUGCUGAAGCAACAAAUGCCCUGCUUCCAGGAAAAGCCUCUAAGCAUCAGGUAACAUCAAAUCGUACCCCAAACCGACACAGGUGGUCAGGUAGAGAAUACCAAGGCGCUUGAGAGAACUCGGGUGAAGGAACUAGGCAAAAUGGUGCCGUAACUUCGGGAGAAGGCACGCUGAUAUGUAGGUGAAGUCCCUCGCGGAUGGAGCUGAAAUCAGUCGAAGAUACCAGCUGGCUGCAACUGUUUAUUAAAAACACAGCACUGUGCAAACACGAAAGUGGACGUAUACGGUGUGACGCCUGCCCGGUGCCGGAAGGUUAAUUGAUGGGGUCAGCGCAAGCGAAGCUCUUGAUCGAAGCCCCGGUAAACGGCGGCCGUAACUAUAACGGUCCUAAGGUAGCGAAAUUCCUUGUCGGGUAAGUUCCGACCUGCACGAAUGGCGUAAUGAUGGCCAGGCUGUCUCCACCCGAGACUCAGUGAAAUUGAACUCGCUGUGAAGAUGCAGUGUACCCGCGGCAAGACGGAAAGACCCCGUGAACCUUUACUAUAGCUUGACACUGAACAUUGAGCCUUGAUGUGUAGGAUAGGUGGGAGGCUUGGAAGUGUGGACGCCAGUCUGCAUGGAGCCGACCUUGAAAUACCACCCUUUAAUGUUUGAUGUUCUAACGUUGACCCGUAAUCCGGGUUGCGGACAGUGUCUGGUGGGUAGUUUGACUGGGGCGGUCUCCUCCUAAAGAGUAACGGAGGAGCACGAAGGUUGGCUAAUCCUGGUCGGACAUCAGGAGGUUAGUGCAAUGGCAUAAGCCAGCUUGACUGCGAGCGUGACGGCGCGAGCAGGUGCGAAAGCAGGUCAUAGUGAUCCGGUGGUUCUGAAUGGAAGGGCCAUCGCUCAACGGAUAAAAGGUACUCCGGGGAUAACAGGCUGAUACCGCCCAAGAGUUCAUAUCGACGGCGGUGUUUGGCACCUCGAUGUCGGCUCAUCACAUCCUGGGGCUGAAGUAGGUCCCAAGGGUAUGGCUGUUCGCCAUUUAAAGUGGUACGCGAGCUGGGUUUAGAACGUCGUGAGACAGUUCGGUCCCUAUCUGCCGUGGGCGCUGGAGAACUGAGGGGGGCUGCUCCUAGUACGAGAGGACCGGAGUGGACGCAUCACUGGUGUUCGGGUUGUCAUGCCAAUGGCACUGCCCGGUAGCUAAAUGCGGAAGAGAUAAGUGCUGAAAGCAUCUAAGCACGAAACUUGCCCCGAGAUGAGUUCUCCCUGACUCCUUGAGAGUCCUGAAGGAACGUUGAAGACGACGACGUUGAUAGGCCGGGUGUGUAAGCGCAGCGAUGCGUUGAGCUAACCGGUACUAAUGAACCGUGAGGCUUAACCUU
rnacentral:rRNA from 1 species